AUCGCUUCUAGGCCUUUUUGGCCAGGAUCAAGCGUAGUAUCUAUUCUUAUCAGUUUAAAAUCUGAUAUGUCCUCUAUCUGGAGACCUUAUAUUAGAUUAAUUUUUGGAACAGGGAGAUGGAGGAAGAGCUUGCUCUGUCUGCUUCACACAUUGGCUUGAUAUUACAGUUCCUCCAGGAGCGGUACACCCAUC